AUCCAGCUGACGAGUCUCAAAUAGGACGAAACGCACCUUGUCCUGGAU
rfam:Schistosoma mansoni, Puerto Rico, WGS project CABG01000000 data, contig: 0077